CACUAGCCGCGCUGCAUGUUGGUCCUCUCCUUCACCAACGGAAGAAAACCGUUACAGAACCACCCAAUUAACUCGGACCAAGCACCGUUACAAGGCACCAGGGAAUCCAGCAGCAAUUAGUGUGGGAAACCUCUGAGGUCCCAGACACAAGGGUUGGGAAACCUUGCUAGCUUGAUACUGAUAGCUACCAGCUAGGCUAGUAGCUAAGCUACGGUAAACAACUUCAGGCUUUUUGGUCUGGCAGGAUCCCGGGACAGAUUGUAGCUGGCACAGCAACUGAGGCUAACCGCAAUGCAGGAUCCAAAAUAAAAAGUAUUUAAAUAAAACUUGGCAAGGAAACACUGUUGCAACUUUCAAAAAGAAUACAAUGAGGAGACAAAGAUUUCAGGGUGGGUUAUUGAGGCUAAUAAAACCCUACAACAGUGGCCUCCACAACAGUGAUUGAGGCAACCACUGGUAAGAGGCAUGAAACCUUAGUAAUUGCUCAACAUGUCCCAGCCACAAUAAAUAAUUUUACUGCUGUCUCCCUUUAACAGAACAUUCAGCAGAAAUCUCCUCAUGGGCUGGUAGGUUUUAUGUUGAAAGCAGAUCUUACUYCAGUUCAUUUUCAUGGAUUUGAUUAAUUAGCUGAUUAGUUAAUUUAGGUGUUAUACCUUCUCUCUUCUGUCCCCCAGGAACUGGGUUCAAUGUGUUUAUUUAUUUCCAACUUGCUGAAGUCUUCAUUCUUCUGACAGUCUGUCUGGGAUCAUACUGGUUUUACAAGAAGAAAACCUGUCCUCAAGAACAAGAUGAUGGUGAGUAAGCAGAGUGAUUGCUGUCUCUCAGGUUGAUCACGGUGGGACCCAAAGGGGGGUGUUGAUGUCAUGAAAGUUGCCAUGGGGACCAUGACUGAUGACUAAUGAUGAUGUUAUAAUGAUUAUUGCUGUUUUAAUUUUAAUCAAGCUCAAACUCAAAGCACAGUCAUAUUUAGUUAUUUUGACAUACAUUUGUAAAGUUUCAUAAUGUUCCUUAAGACCUGCCCUUAACAAAUUAAUAAUGAAUGAUCUAUGUGAUGGUGCUAAUUUAACAUUUGAAUUAGUAGUGUUUUUGUGGUUUUUCAUUUGUACAUACAGUUACAUAAACUAAUGAAAAUGCUAUUGUGUUUUUGAAAAUACAUUUUCUUUCAUAUUCGAAUGUGACCUAAGACCUUCACAAACACAUUUUUAUUUUGCGAAAGCAAAUAUGUAGAGUUCAAAAGGUACUUACACUCAAAACCAUGAAAAUGAAUAACCCAAGGAAAUGCAAAAAUAAUGCA